AGAUUGAACGCUGGCGGCGUGCUUAACACAUGCAAGUCGAGCGGUAACGCGGGAGCAAUCCUGGCGACGAGCGGCGAACGGGUGAGUAAUGCUUGGGAAUCUGCCCAUUAGUGGGGAACAACCAGCCGAAAGGUUGGCUAAUACCGCAUACGCCCUACGGGGGAAAGCGGGGGAUCGUAAGACCUCGCGCUAAUGGAUGAGCCCAAGUCGGAUUAGCUUGUUGGUAGGGUAACGGCCUACCAAGGCGACAAUCCGUAGCUGGUCUGAGAGGACGACCAGCCACACUGGGACUGAGACACGGCCCAGACUCCUACGGAGGCAGCAGUGGGGAAUAUUGGACAAUGGGGGCAACCCUGAUCCAGCGACGCCGCGUGUGUGAAGAAGGCCUGCGGGUUGUAAAGCACUUUUAGUGGGGAUGAAAAGCUCAGGGUUAACACCUCUGGGUCUUGACCUAACCCACAGAAAAGCACCGGCUAACUCUGUGCCAGCAGCCGC
rnacentral:rRNA from 1 species